rnacentral:lncRNA from 1 species
CAGGCAUUCAGGCAGCGAGAGCAGAGCAGCGUAGAGCAGCACAGCUGAGCUCGUGAGGCAGGAGACUCAGCCCGAGGAAAUCGCAGAUAAGUUUUUAAUUAAAAAGAUUGAGCAGUAAAAAGAAUUAGAACUCUAAACUUAAGCUAAUAGAGUAGCUUAUCGAAAUAUUACUUAGUCUUAAUAAUCUAAGAAGAUCUUAAGAGAUAACAUGAAGGCUUAUUUAAACAGUUUGAAAAAGGAAAUGAGGAGAAAAGUAUUUGUACUGUAUAAUGGAGGCUGACCAGAGCAGUUUAGGAGAUUGUAAAGGGAGGUUUUGUGAAGUUCUAAAAGGUUCUAGUUUGAAGGUCGGCCUUGUAGAUUAAAACGAAGGUUACCUAAAUAGAAUCUAAGUGGCAUUUAAAACAGUAAAGUUGUAGAGAAUAGUUUGAAAAUGAGGUGUAGUUUUAAAAGAUUGAGAAAAGUAGGUUAAGUUGACGGCCGUUAUAAAAAUCCUUCGACUGGCGCAUGUACGUUUGAAGGCAUGAGUUGGAAACAGGGAAGAUGGAAGUGUUAGGCUAGUAUUUGGAGAAAGAAGAUUAGAAAAUGGAAGUGAAAGACGAAGAAGACAUACAGGAAGGUGAAGAAAAAGCUGUUAGAGAAGAUAGGAAAAUAGAAGACAAAGCAUCUUUAGAAGACAGAAAAGCUGACCCAGGUCUACACAGAAGUGCAUUCAGUGAACUAGGAAGACAGGAGCGGCAGACAGGAGUCCCGAAGCCAGUUUGGUGAAGCUAGGAAGGACUGAGGAGCCAGCAGCAGCAGUGCAUGGUGAAGAUAGCCCAGGAAAGAGUGCGGUUCGGUGGAGGAAGCUAGGAAGAAGGAGCCAUACGGAUGUGGUGGUGAAGCUGGGAAAGGGUUCCAGGAUGGUGGAGCGAGAGCGAGUUGGUGAUGAAGCUAGCUGGCGGCUUGGCUUGUCAACUGCGCGGAGGAGGCGAGCAGGCAUUGUGGAGAGGAUAGAUAGCGGCUCCUAGACCAGCAUGCCAGUGUGCAAGAAAGGCUGCAGGGAGAGCAUGCGGUGCGGUAACAUUCCUUGAGGUCGGCAACAUGGUGGUGGUUUUCUGUAACUUGGAUGGUAACUUGUUUACUUUGUCUUAAUAGUUAUGGGGGAGUUGUAGGCUUCUGUGUAAAGAGAUAUAUCUGGGGCUGUAUGUAGGCCUUUGCGGGUGUUGUAGGUUUUUCUUUUUCAGGGUUAUGUCCUCUUGCAUCUUGUCAGAAGCUUUUGAGGGCUGACUGCCAAGGCCCAGAAAGAAGAAUGGUAGAUGGCAAGUUGUCUUUAACCGCUCAGAGGGGAAUGAAUGGUAGAGCCAGCACAACCUCCCAGUUUUGUAAGACGUUGUAGUUUGAACAGAUGACCUACCACAAGCCUCACUCCUGUGUAGGGGAGGUAAUUGGGCAAAGUGCUUUUGGGGGAAUGGGGGCAAAAUAUAUUUUGAGUUCUUUUCCCCUUAGGUCUGUCUAGAAUCCUAAAGGCAGAUGACUCAAGGGAACCAGAAAAAAGGAAAUCCACUCUCAGGAUAAGCAGAGCUCGCCAGGUUUACAGUUUGUAGGAAGUAGAGGAUGGAUGCUAGCUUUCACACUGAGUGUGGAGGAGCUGGCCAUGGCGGAAUUGCUGGUAGUUUACUCUUUCCCCCUCCCUUAAUGAGAUUUGUAAAAUCCUAAACACUUUUACUUGAAAUAUUUGGGAGUGGUCUUAACAGGGAGGAGUGGGUGGGGGAAACGUUUUUUUUCUAAGAUUUUCCACAGAUGCUAUAGUUGUGUUGACACACUGGGUUAGAGAAGGCGUGUACUGCUAUGCUGUUGGCACGACACCUUCAGGGACUGGAGCUGCCUUUUGUCCUUGGAAGAGUUUUCCCAGUUGCCGCUGAAGUCAGCACAGUGCGGCUUUGGUUCACAGUCACCUCAGGAGAACCUCAGGAGCUUGGCUAGGCCAGAGGUUGAAGUUAAGUUUUACAGCACCGUGAUUUAAAAUAUUUCAUUAAAGGGGAGGGGUAAAACUUAGUUGGCUGUGGCCUUGUGUUUGGGUGGGUGGGGGUGUUAGGUAAUUGUUUAGUUUAUGAUUUCAGAUAAUCAUACCAGAGAACUUAAAUAUUUGGAAAAACAGGAAAUCUCAGCUUUCAAGUUGGCAAGUAACUCCCAAUCCAGUUUUUGCUUCUUUUUUCCUUUUUCUUUUUUUGAGGCGGGCAGCUAAGGAAGGUUGGUUCCUCUGCCGGUCCCUCGAAAGCGUAGGGCUUGGGGGUUGGUCUGGUCCACUGGGAUGAUGUGAUGCUACAGUGGGGACUCUUCUGAAGCUGUUGGAUGAAUAUAGAUUGUAGUGUGUGGUUCUCUUUUGAAAUUUUUUUCAGGUGACUUAAUGUAUCUUAAUAACUACUAUAGGAACAAAGGAAGUGGCUUUAAUGACCCUGAAGGAAUUUCUUCUGGUGAUAGCUUUUAUAUUAUCAAGUAAGAGAUACUAUCUCAGUUUUGUAUAAGCAAGUCUUUUUCCUAGUGUAGGAGAAAUGAUUUUCCUUGUGACUAAACAAGAUGUAAAGGUAUGCUUUUUUUCUUCUUGUGCAUUGUAUACUUGUGUUUAUUUGUAACUUAUAAUUUAAGAAUUAUGAUAAUUCAGCCUGAAUGUCUUUUAGAGGGUGGGCUUUUGUUGAUGAGGGAGGGGAAACCUUUUUUUUUCUGUAGACCUUUUUCAGAUAACACCAUCUGAGUCAUAACCAGCCUGGCAGUGUGAUGACGUAGAUGCAGAGGGAGCAGCUCCUUGGUGAAUGAGUGAUAAGUAAAGGCAGAAAAAAUAAUGUCAUGUCUCCAUGGGGAAUGAGCAUGAGCCAGAGAUUGUUCCUACUGAUGAAAAGCUGCAUAUGCAAAAAUUUAAGCAAAUGAAAGCAACCAGUAUAAAGUUAUGGCAAUACCUUUAAAAGUUAUGGCUUAUCUACCAAGCUUUAUCCACAAAAGUAAAGAAUUGAUGAAAAACAGUGAAGAUCAAAUGUUCAUCUCAAAACUGCUUUUACAAAAGCAGAAUAGAAAUGAAGUGAAAAUGCUGCAUUAAGCCUGGAGUAAAAAGAAGCUGAGCUUGUUGAGAUGAGUGGGAUCGAGCGGCUGCGAGGCGGUGCAGUGUGCCAAUGUUUCGUUUGCCUCAGACAGGUUUCUCUUCAUAAGCAGAAGAGUUGCUUCAUUCCAUCUCGGAGCAGGAAACAGCAGACUGCUGUUGACAGAUAAGUGUAACUUGGAUCUGCAGUAUUGCAUGUUAGGGAUAGAUAAGUGCCUUUUUUCUCUUUUUCCAAAAAGACCUGUAGAGCUGUUGAAUGUUUGCAGCUGGCCCCUCUUAGGCAGUUCAGAAUUUUGAGUAGUUUUCCCAUCCAGCCUCUUAAAAAUUCCUAAGCCUUGCACCGAUGGGCUUUCAUGAUGGGAUAGCUAAUAGGCUUUUGCAUCGUAAACUUCAACACAAAAGCCUACAUGAUUAAUGCCUACUUUAAUUACAUUGCUUACAAGAUUAAGGAAUCUUUAUCUUGAAGACCCCAUGAAAGGGAUCAUUAUGUGCUGAAAAUUAGAUGUUCAUAUUGCUAAAAUUUAAAUGUGCUCCAAUGUACUUGUGCUUAAAAUCAUUAAAUUAUACAAAUUAAUAAAAUACUUCACUAGAGAAUGUAUGUAUUUAGAAGGCUGUCUCCUUAUUUAAAUAAAGUCUUGUUUGUUGUCUGUAGUUAGUGUGGGCAAUUUUGGGGGGAUGUUCUUCUCUAAUCUUUUCAGAAACUUGACUUCGAACACUUAAGUGGACCAGAUCAGGAUUUGAGCCAGAAGACCGAAAUUAACUUUAAGUCAGGGGUCUAAUUUGACCAUGGCUAAACAUCUAGGACCACACAGAAUGCAGGUGUCUUGACUUCAGGUCAUGUCUGUUCUUUGGCAAGUAAUAUGUGCAGUACUGUUCCAAUCUGCUGCUAUUAGAAUGCAUUGUGACGCGACUGGAGUAUGAUUAAAGAAAGUUGUGUUUCCCCAAGUGUUUGGAGUAGUGGUUGUUGGAGGAAAAGCCAUGAGUAACAGGCUGAGUGUUGAGGAAAUGGCUCUCUGCAGCUUUAAGUAACCCGUGUUUGUGAUUGGAGCCGAGUCCCUUUGCUGUGCUGCCUUAGGUAAAUGUUUUUGUUCAUUUCUGGUGAGGGGGGUUGGGAGCACUGAAGCCUUUAGUCUCUUCCAGAUUCAACUUAAAAUCUGACAAGAAAUAAAUCAGACAAGCAACAUUCUUGAAGAAAUUUUAACUGGCAAGUGGAAAUGUUUUGAACAGUUCCGUGGUCUUUAGUGCAUUAUCUUUGUGUAGGUGUUCUCUCUCCCCUCCCUUGGUCUUAAUUCUUACAUGCAGGAACAUUGACAACAGCAGACAUCUAUCUAUUCAAGGGGCCAGAGAAUCCAGACCCAGUAAGGAAAAAUAGCCCAUUUACUUUAAAUCGAUAAGUGAAGCAGACAUGCCAUUUUCAGUGUGGGGAUUGGGAAGCCCUAGUUCUUUCAGAUGUACUUCAGACUGUAGAAGGAGCUUCCAGUUGAAUUGAAAUUCACCAGUGGACAAAAUGAGGACAACAGGUGAACGAGCCUUUUCUUGUUUAAGAUUAGCUACUGGUAAUCUAGUGUUGAAUCCUCUCCAGCUUCAUGCUGGAGCAGCUAGCAUGUGAUGUAAUGUUGGCCUUGGGGUGGAGGGGUGAGGUGGGCGCUAAGCCUUUUUUUAAGAUUUUUCAGGUACCCCUCACUAAAGGCACUGAAGGCUUAAUGUAGGACAGCGGAGCCUUCCUGUGUGGCAAGAAUCAAGCAAGCAGUAUUGUAUCGAGACCAAAGUGGUAUCAUGGUCGGUUUUGAUUAGCAGUGGGGACUACCCUACCGUAACACCUUGUUGGAAUUGAAGCAUCCAAAGAAAAUACUUGAGAGGCCCUGGGCUUGUUUUAACAUCUGGAAAAAAGGCUGUUUUUAUAGCAGCGGUUACCAGCCCAAACCUCAAGUUGUGCUUGCAGGGGAGGGAAAAGGGGGAAAGCGGGCAACCAGUUUCCCCAGCUUUUCCAGAAUCCUGUUACAAGGUCUCCCCACAAGUGAUUUCUCUGCCACAUCGCCACCAUGGGCCUUUGGCCUAAUCACAGACCCUUCACCCCUCACCUUGAUGCAGCCAGUAGCUGGAUCCUUGAGGUCACGUUGCAUAUCGGUUUCAAGGUAACCAUGGUGCCAAGGUCCUGUGGGUUGCACCAGAAAAGGCCAUCAAUUUUCCCCUUGCCUGUAAUUUAACAUUAAAACCAUAGCUAAGAUGUUUUAUACAUAGCACCUAUGCAGAGUAAACAAACCAGUAUGGGUAUAGUAUGUUUGAUACCAGUGCUGGGUGGGAAUGUAGGAAGUCGGAUGAAAAGCAAGCCUUUGUAGGAAGUUGUUGGGGUGGGAUUGCAAAAAUUCUCUGCUAAGACUUUUUCAGGUGGACAUAACAGACUUGGCCAAGCUAGCAUCUUAGUGGAAGCAGAUUCGUCAGUAGGGUUGUAAAGGUUUUUCUUUUCCUGAGAAAACAACCUUUUGUUUUCUCAGGUUUUGCUUUUUGGCCUUUCCCUAGCUUUAAAAAAAAAAAAGCAAAAGACGCUGGUGGCUGGCACUCCUGGUUUCCAGGACGGGGUUCAAGUCCCUGCGGUGUCUUUGCUUGACUCUUAUAUCAUGAGGCCAUUACAUUUUUCUUGGAGGGUUCUAAAGGCUCUGGGUAUGGUAGCUGAUAUCACUGGAACACUCCCCAGCCUCAGUGUUGAACUCUUGAUAAUUAACUGCAUUGUCUUUCAGGUUAUGCCCAAUUCGUCUUAUUACCUCUGAGUCGACA